UAGUUGGUGAGGUAAUGGCUCACCAAGGCUAUGACGCAUAACUGGUCUGAGAGGAUGAUCAGUCACACUGGAACUGAGACACGGUCCAGACUCCUACGGGAGGCAGCAGUAGGGAAUAUUGCUCAAUGGGGGAAACCCUGAAGCAGCAACGCCGCGUGGAGGAUGACACUUUUCGGAGCGUAAACUCCUUUUGUUAGGGAAGAACAAUGACGGUACCUAACGAAUAAGCACCGGCUAACUCCGUGCCAGCAGCCGCGGUAAUACGGAGGGUGCAAGCGUCACUCGGAAUCACUGGGCGUAAAGGACGCGUAGGCGGAUUAUCAAGUCUUUUGUGAAAUCUAAUGGCUCAACCAUUAAACUGC
rnacentral:rRNA from 1 species